CCUACGGGUGGCAGCAGUGGGGAAGAUUGGGCAAUGGGCGCAAGCCUGACCCAGCAACGCCGCGUGAAGGAAGAAGGCUGUCGGGUUGUAAACUUCUUUUAAGGGGGAAGAGCAGAAGACGGUACCCCUUGCAUCAGCCACGGCUCACUACGUGACAGCAGCCGCUGUAAUACGUCGGUGGCAAGCGUUGUCCGGAUUUACUGGGUGUAAAGGGCGUGCAGCCGGAGAGACAAGUCAGAUGUGAAAUCCACGGGCUCAACCCGUGAACUGCAUUUGAAACUGUUUCCCUGGAGUGUCGGAGAGGUAAUCGGAAUUCCUUGUGUAGCGGUGAAAUGCGUAGAUAUAAGGAAGAACACCAGUGGCGAAGGCGGAUUACUGGACGAUAACUGACGGUGAGGCGCGAAAGCGUGGGGAGCAAACAGGAUUAGAUACCCCAGUAGUC
rnacentral:rRNA from 1 species